UACGUAGGGUGCGAGCGUUAAUCGGAAUUACUGGGCGUAAAGCGUGCGCAGGCGGUUCGUUGUGUCCGGCGUGAAAGCCCCGGGCUUAACCUGGGAACUGCGAUGGAAACUAGCGAGCUGGAGUGUGGCAGAGGGGGGUGGAAUUCCGCGUGUAGCAGUGAAAUGCGUAGAGAUGCGGAGGAACACCGAUGGCGAAGGCAGCCCCCUGGGCUAACACUGACGCUGAGGAGCGAAAGCUAGGGGAGCAAACGGG
rnacentral:rRNA from 1 species